UCCGAAAUGGUCUAGUGGCUAGGAUUUGCCGCUCUCACUGACGGGGAGUAAGCCAUCUUGUAGGUGCCGGCAAGGCCCGAGUUCGAUUUUCGGUUUCGGAG
rnacentral:tRNA from 1 species